AAAACUGCUACUCUUCAAUAUGGCAGAGCAUUUUUCACCAUAAGGUUAGUUCGAGUCCUUGGUAGUGUGGUCUGUUUUGUUAAUGGGUUCUCCAGUUUCCUUAAAAAUUUUCUCCCUAAAAUUUCCUUAAAAUUAAAUCCCCUGAGUGGCAACCGCCCAGUAACUUCGCAUCUAGCAAAAAGAAACACGAUCUUACUUUUCUCUCGUUUCCCUCCGGCCUCCGCAUACCAAUUCCUUACCAUUUUCUCUUUCUCUAGAACACUCAAACCUCCGAGAGAAGAAUUGAACGUAGCCCACUUACAGCAUUAAAAUCUCCUCAGUCCUCUUCUUCACUCUACAUCAUUAGAAAAACUAGUGUUUCCGUUCCCAUCUCUCUUUGAAAAGGAAAACAGAAAACUAUGAAUCAAUUUCAGCAUUUCGGUUUCUGUCUAGGGUUUCAACUCCGGUAUUUCUAAUCUGAUUUUGUGUUUGAAAUUGGGAAGGAAACAAAAGUAAAGCAAGAAGAUUGAAAUAAGUUAUGCCAAGUGCAGCUCUUCAGGAAGUUGACUAGGUGUGUCAGAGGCUACGUUCAGAAGAAAAUAUAAUAUACUGCAGAUUCUGCCCCUAAAGCUGAAAAAGUUUGAGGUGCUACCGCUCUUGCAUCUUUCAUGGGAAAUUGGAUCCUAAGGCGCAACUCGAUUGAAGAUGGCCAGAAUUUACCUACCUAGCAGAGACAAUCAAACUGAGACACUAUAUUCCGAUUGCAUCAGACAAGGCUUUGGGAUAUGAAACAAUGGGAGGCCAUAAGGAAUGGUUAAUGGCCAGAAUUUAAGGUGACCAAACUUGACCUUCAAUUUUAUGCUAAAAUAAUUUUAGAUUUGUAUACUGCUACUAAUAAUAUUUGGAUGAUAUAGAAUUUAAACAGAUGGUGCUCAUUGUUUGUGGAAUUGCUAGGUACAGGUCAUAUAUACUUAUUUUUCACAAUCACCAUCGUCACCUCCACCUCUACCAUAAUGAUUUUCCAUGUUCACCGGCAUACCCUCCUUUGUUCAACACCGGUACCACCACUAUUUUCACUACCAUAUUAACCUCCAAUAGCAGAUUAGCAGACCCCUCCUCCAUUACCACCACCCUCCCUGUAACAACCAGCAUGUUCAACUCCAGCACCAUAGGCAGAAUCACUACCAGAAUCACUCCUAAAACCACCUCCACUAUCAAGGCUUGUACCAUGUUCAACUCCAACAUCACUACCAGAACAACCUCCUCUAGCAGAACCAUGCUCGCCGAGAAUGUUACAUUGAGGCUACAACUUUUUGCUGAUAAUGAGAUAAUAAGUUUUAUUGUUGGCUAACUACCUUGCGAUGCAGUAAGAUUGAGUUGAUUAACACCUGUUUGUUUUCUUAAGGUCUACCAUCUCUCGAUGUUCUUUUGUUGAUCAAAUUUUUAGAUGCUAGUUUUCAUUUGCUUUGCAGGACAUGUCCCAUGAAUGGACUGCUGGAGUAGAUGUACUAUGUUAUAAGUUGUCGUGUGCCAUGCAUUGGUGUUCAUCUACCUAGUGUGAGGGUUUAAUUAGAAUCUAAUGUAUAUUAUUUGUUAUUGUGUGAACUUGAGCCUUCAAAAGGUACUGUGACAGGAUUCUCAUGGGGGUUACGGCAAGAACUGACAAAAUCAUGAAAAGGAUCGCGGGACGGAUGCCUAACAAAAAUACAUUCAAGUGGUCCUAUUUCAUUUUGUUUUCCACAAGGAAGUCUGUGUACCAAUUACGAUGAAGUAGAAAUCACCGAAGUAUGAAGAAAAAGGAUAAACUAUGUGCGACCAUUAGUAACAUGAUACCGCAGGAUUGUCGAUCCAGAACUGGGAAAUGUUAUAAACUGGUUAGAUUCCAGGCAACUUCGUCAAAACAUGGAUAUGGUUUUCCAUUUCAUUGCUAAUUUCUUUUUAGUCAGUACUAAGAAUAAUUUUACACAGUUUACUGAAUCAUGUCGUACAGUAAUACUGAAUCAUGUCGUACAGUAACUUAGAAUUAACUUAUUUGGUUGGGAAUUUCUGUAUUACUUAUUGAUUAAAUCAAUUGAAACACUAUUUCUUUCGUAA